rnacentral:tRNA from 3 species
UCCGCGGUAGCUCAAUUGGCAGAGCAGCUGGCUGUUAACCAGCGGGUUGCAGGUUCGAGUCCUGCCCGCGGAG